CUCGUAAAACUAAUACAUAUCCAGGUAGCCGGCCUCGGCGAUGCAGAAAUAGCAAUCCCUCAGAUUUUCCACUAAAAACAAAUUACACCGUCUCUGAUUUUCCAUUCCAUGUCCCACUAACUGCCCUCUCCACUCCAUGGACCCUCGGCGAGCACUACGCAUCAUCAGCGACCCGAAGGUCCGCCAGGUAGGCUUCUUCGCUCCUGGAGUGUCCAUACUCGGACCGAUCCCAAUCGGGCCCACCUGAUCAUCCCUCUUCUUCGCCUCCAACAAUCGCCGACCUCUCUCCUUCCGGUGCCAACU
rnacentral:misc_RNA from 1 species